rnacentral:RNase_MRP_RNA from 14 species
AAGCACGGCUUCGCAGCACGCAAACGGGGAGCUUGCUCCCAAUGAGGCUGCGAGGAAAGUCCCCGUGCCUUGGUGCAGAGAGUGCGUGUGGGAGACCGCAGGGCACAGGUCAGGCCUCCAGUGGCGAUGCUUCUGGCGGAUUCUUGGUGGCAGGCUUGGGCCCUUCGCAGCAGCACAGACCUAUUGUACAGCUUGGAUGGAUGUUCAUUUGGAUCUCGAGAAUGUGAAGGUGCCUUGGUGCAGAGAGUGCGAGUGGGAAACCACAGGGCUCGUGCCAGACCUCCAGUGGUGAUGCUUGUUUCGCAGCAGCACAGACAUGCCGUGAGCGCUCAUGAUUUGAGCGCCAACAGAACGGGGCUCACUCUCC